UGCCAGCCGCCGCGGUAAUACGGAGGGUGCAAGCGUUGCUCGGAAUCACUGGGCGUAAAGCGCGCGUAGGUGGUUCGUUAAGUGGGGUGUGAAAGCCCUGGGCUCAACCCAGGAACUGCAUUCCAAACUGACGGACUAGAGUAUGGUAGAGGGAGGUAGAAUUUCCUGUGUAGCGGUGAAAUGCGUAGAUAUAGGAAGGAAUACCGAUGGCGAAGGCAGCCUCCUGGACCAAUACUGACACUGAGGUGCGAAAGCGUGGGGAGCAAACAGGAUUAGAUA
rnacentral:rRNA from 1 species